CCGCCGCCGCCCCCAAUAGAUCUCCUCUCUCCGGCGAAAUGUUCUGUUACCUUCUCCGAGACAAAUCCCCUUCCGCACUCAUCCUCCUCUCUUCAGGAUCCUCUCCCCCCGCCCUUUCUGCACUCAUCCUCCUCGGUCUGGGUACUUUCCCCCACAGCCCCGAGGCAGUGUUUGGUGUUUGUCGCCUGAGACAAAUCGGAGUCUGAUACACCGAUAUUAGUCUUAUCCAUCUCCCAUCAGGUGGUCCAAGAUGGAUUGUAUGUUGCUGAUGACUGAAUGUGCCCCAAUAGUUUGUGUCUUAUUUAAAGUGCAGAAACAUAAUAUUAAUCCAAGACUUAUUCAUCAGAAAAUGCUUCUACGGAAAGAGCUACUCCUCUAAAUAAUUAGUACACAACUAUGCGGCAAUUGUUUUCAAUUGAGACUAUGAGCUACUUGAAUGAUGUUUGUACAGUAAAGUGUAGAGGGUCACAUGAUUCAAGUGCCAAGGUUCAGAAAAUAAUCGGUUUGGACAUCAAAUUACUCUAGAAAAGACAACUUGACCUCUAAUUUUAGUAUUUGCAAAACCAGCCUCUGUUUUACUGGUCAUUAUUUCGUUGCAGUUGUUCUCAUGCUAUCUUCAAGAUAUCUGUCAAGCAAAAGGAGACCCCAAGUUCUACAAAUGAGAAGAGGCUGCCUUUAAAUGAAGAGGAAAGAUGGAGCAUUUCCCCGCACUGCGACAGAUAAAUUAACCCGCCUUCCGCGUUUUUGUUAGUAAUAGUUUUAUUUCUGAAUGAUGUUAUCUUAAGCCGGAAUAUUAAUGUGGAAAUGCUAUGUAUUCAAGGCCAACAGCUAUUCGCUCU